rnacentral:rRNA from 1 species
AUAAUGGGUCAGCGACUUAUAUUCUGUAGCAAGGUUAACCGAAUAGGGGAGCCGAAGGGAAACCGAGUCUUAACUGGGCGUUAAGUUGCAGGGUAUAGACCCGAAACCCGGUGAUCUAGCCAUGGGCAGGUUGAAGGUUGGGUAACACUAACUGGAGGACCGAACCGACUAAUGUUGAAAAAUUAGCGGAUGACUUGUGGCUGGGGGUGAAAGGCCAAUCAAACCGGGAGAUAGCUGGUUCUCCCCGAAAGCUAUUUAGGUAGCGCCUCGUGAAUUCAUCUCCGGGGGUAGAGCACUGUUUCGGCAAGGGGGUCAUCCCGACUUACCAACCCGAUGCAAACUGCGAAUACCGGAGAAUGUUAUCACGGGAGACACACGGCGGGUGCUAACGUCCGUCGUGAAGAGGGAAACAACCCAGACCGCCAGCUAAGGUCCCAAAGUCAUGGUUAAGUGGGAAACGAUGUGGGAAGGCCCAGACAGCCAGGAUGUUGGCUUAGAAGCAGCCAUCAUUUAAAGAAAGCGUAAUAGCUCACUGGUCGAGUCGGCCUGCGCGGAAGAUGUAACGGGGCUAAACCAUGCACCGAAGCUGCGGCAGCGACGCUGAUGCGUUGUUGGGUAGGGGAGCGUUCUGUAAGCCUGCGAAGGUGUGCUGUGAGGCAUGCUGGAGGUAUCAGAAGUGCGAAUGCUGACAUAAGUAACGAUAAAGCGGGUGAAAAGCCCGCUCGCCGGAAGACCAAGGGUUCCUGUCCAACGUUAAUCGGGGCAGGGUGAGUCGACCCCUAAGGCGAGGCCGAAAGGCGUAGUCGAUGGGAAACAGGUUAAUAUUCCUGUACUUGGUGUUACUGCGAAGGGGGGACGGAGAAGGCUAUGUUGGCCGGGCGACGGUUGUCCCGGUUUAAGCGUGUAGGCUGGUUUUCCAGGCAAAUCCGGAAAAUCAAGGCUGAGGCGUGAUGACGAGGCACUACGGUGCUGAAGCAACAAAUGCCCUGCUUCCAGGAAAAGCCUCUAAGCAUCAGGUAACAUCAAAUCGUACCCCAAACCGACACAGGUGGUCAGGUAGAGAAUACCAAGGCGCUUGAGAGAACUCGGGUGAAGGAACUAGGCAAAAUGGUGCCGUAACUUCGGGAGAAGGCACGCUGAUAUGUAGGUGAAGUCCCUCGCGGAUGGAGCUGAAAUCAGUCGAAGAUACCAGCUGGCUGCAACUGUUUAUUAAAAACACAGCACUGUGCAAACACGAAAGUGGACGUAUACGGUGUGACGCCUGCCCGGUGCCGGAAGGUUAAUUGAUGGGGUUAGCGCAAGCGAAGCUCUUGAUCGAAGCCCCGGUAAACGGCGGCCGUAACUAUAACGGUCCUAAGGUAGCGAAAUUCCUUGUCGGGUAAGUUCCGACCUGCACGAAUGGCGUAAUGAUGGCCAGGCUGUCUCCACCCGAGACUCAGUGAAAUUGAACUCGCUGUGAAGAUGCAGUGUACCCGCGGCAAGACGGAAAGACCCCGUGAACCUUUACUAUAGCUUGACACUGAACAUUGAGCCUUGAUGUGUAGGAUAGGUGGGAGGCUUUGAAGUGUGGACGCCAGUCUGCAUGGAGCCGACCUUGAAAUACCACCCUUUAAUGUUUGAUGUUCUAACGUUGACCCGUAAUCCGGGUUGCGGACAGUGUCUGGUGGGUAGUUUGACUGGGGCGGUCUCCUCCUAAAGAGUAACGGAGGAGCACGAAGGUUGGCUAAUCCUGGUCGGACAUCAGGAGGUUAGUGCAAUGGCAUAAGCCAGCUUGACUGCGAGCGUGACGGCGCGAGCAGGUGCGAAAGCAGGUCAUAGUGAUCCGGUGGUUCUGAAUGGAAGGGCCAUCGCUCAACGGAUAAAAGGUACUCCGGGGAUAACAGGCUGAUACCGCCCAAGAGUUCAUAUCGACGGCGGUGUUUGGCACCUCGAUGUCGGCUCAUCACAUCCUGGGGCUGAAGUAGGUCCCAAGGGUAUGGCUGUUCGCCAUUUAAAGUGGUACGCGAGCUGGGUUUAGAACGUCGUGAGACAGUUCGGUCCCUAUCUGCCGUGGGCGCUGGAGAACUGAGGGGGGCUGCUCCUAGUACGAGAGGACCGGAGUGGACGCAUCACUGGUGUUCGGGUUGUCAUGCCAAUGGCACUGCCCGGUAGCUAAAUGCGGAAGAGAUAAGUGCUGAAAGCAUCUAAGCACGAAACUUGCCCCGAGAUGAGUUCUCCCUGACUCCUUGAGAGUCCUGAAGGAACGUUGAAGACGACGACGUUGAUAGGCCGGGUGUGUAAGCGCAGCGAUGCGUUGAGCUAACCGGUACUAAUGAACCGUGAG